GACGAACGCUGGCGGCGUGCUUAACACAUGCAAGUCGAACGGUAAGGCCCUGCUUUUGUGGGGUGCUCGAGUGGCGAAAGGGUGAGUAACACGUGAGUAACCUGCCCUUGACUUUGGGAUAAAUUCAGGAAACUGGGGCUAUUAUCGGAUAGGAGCUCCUGCUGCAUGGUGGGGGUUGGAAAGUUUCGGCGGUUGGGGAUGGACUCGCGGCUUAGCAGCUUGUUGGUGGGGUAGUGGCUUACCAAGGCUUUGACGGGUAGCCGGCCUGAGAGGGUGACCGGCCACAUUGGGACUGAGAUGCGGCCCGGACUCCUACGGGAGGCAGCGGUGAGGAAUAGUGCACAAUGGGCGGAAGCCUGAAGCAGCAACGCCGCGUGCGGGAUGACGGCCUUCGGGUUGUAAACCUCUUUCGCCUGUGACGAAGCGUGAGUGACGGUAAUGGGUAAAGAAGCACCGGCUAACUACGUG
rnacentral:rRNA from 1 species